rnacentral:rRNA from 1 species
AUGAACGCUGGCGGCGUUCCUAAUACAUUCAAGUCGAGCGAACAGACGAGGAGCUUGCUCCUCUGACGUUAGCGGCGGACGGGUGAGUAACACGUGGAUAACCUACCUAUAAGACUGGGAUAACUUCGGGAAACCGGAGCUAAUACCGGAUAAUAUAUUUAACCGCAUGUUUCAAUAGUGAAAUACGGUUUUGCUGUCACUUAUAGAUGGAUCCGCGCCGCAUUAGCUAGUUGGUAAGGUAACGGCUUACCAAGGCAACGAUGCGUAGCCGACCUGAGAGGGUGAUAGGCCACACUGGAACUGAGACACGGUCCAGACUCCUACGGGAGGCAGCAGUAGGGAAUCUUACGCAAUGGGCGAAAGCCUGACGGAGCAACGCCGAGUGAGUGAUGAAGGUCUUCGGAUCGUAAAACUCUGUUAUUAGGGAAGAACAAAUGUGUAAGUAACUAUGCACGUCUUGACGGUACCUAAUCAGAAAGCCACGGCUAACUACGUG